CCUGGGCACCUGGUGGGAUUGCAUUCACAGUUCCUCAAAGUGACCAAGUGAUUUGCAUUGAGCAUUGAAAGAUAUCCCCCUGGGGCACCGGCCUAGAACAGAGCAACAAAUAUUUACUAAUUCCAUUAACAGAAGAGAGUUGGAAUUUUUUUUUCCCAAGCGAAUAUCCGAGGCCCCAAGUUCAUGGUGAGCCCUCUCCCCCGCAUGGCCCCCUCUCCCCCCACCUCCUCCCUACACGCCCAGGACUUAUAUAUAGUUCACUCAGUGCCAUUUCCCCAAUUUUUUUCUGAAGUUCAAGACAAGUUGAAGGGUCAAAAAGGCAAAGGGUGUUUUAGAAGUUUAGCAGACAGCUUUUGGUACAAGGAAAAGAGAGGGAGAGCUGGAGAGAGGGAAACAGGGUGAAGAGGCAGGAAUCUGGCUCGCAUUAAGCUGGGAGGUUCCAACCAUUGAUUCGCUCUGGAAUUAUGGCUUAAAAAAAUUGCAAGACAUGGUUUAUUCAUGAGGGUUCUUUUUUUUUCUUAAGUAGCCACCCAAAGUUACACUUUGGUUCACCAAGACGAAGACUCAUCCUUCCUCUCUCUAUGGAUCUUUCAGAUGAAGAAAUUAAGGCUCAGGAGGGAGGAAAAAAAUAAAAGAAAGAAUUGUCCAAGGUCACCAAGGCAUCUGGACUCCCAUAUGUUGAGCUACUUCUGCUUGUGGGGCAGCUGCAAUACAUGAAUUCUUCACUACAGGACUCAUUCUUGGAGCCCAGUCUCCAUACUGUGAGGAAGCCCAAAAGGCACACACUAACAGAACACGUGGAAAAGCUUCAGCCUCGUGUAGAUGUUCUGGUCAACAUCCCAGUUGAUGUCACAGCCAACAGCCUGCAUCAAGUGCCUGACACGUGAGUGAUGACACCUCCAGAUGAUUCCAGCCCCUAGCCAUUGGAUCACCCCCAGCUGUCAAAUCUUCCAGCUGAGGCCCCAGACAUUGUGGGGCAGAGACAAGCUGUUCCCAUUGUGCCCCAUCCAAAUUCCUGACCCACAGAAUGAAUGAGCA
rnacentral:lncRNA from 10 species